UACGGGGGGGGCAAGCGUUGUUCGGAAUUACUGGGCGUAAAGGGCUCGUAGGUGGCCAACUAAGUCAGACGUGAAAUCCCUCGGCUUAACCGGGGAACUGCGUCUGAUACUGGAUGGCUUGAGUUCGGGAGAGGGAUGCGGAAUUCCAGGUGUAGCGGUGAAAUGCGUAGAUAUCUGGAGGAACACCGGUGGCGAAGGCGGCAUCCUGGACCGACACUGACACUGAGGAGCGAAAGCCAGGGGAGCAGACGGG
rnacentral:rRNA from 1 species